rnacentral:ribozyme from 13 species
UUCAUGUUCUUCUUUUUUGUCCUUAUCCUCUUCCUUUUCUUUUUCCUUUUCUCCUUCCAUCUCCUCUUCGACAAAUGGAGGUGAUGGUGACCGUGGUCUUGCCGUUGGUGGUGGCGGAGGUAAGACAACUCUUGAAUUUUGAAACCUCUUCGCUCCUUCAUCACCCAU